GCAGUGCUGCACACACAGACUCGGGCACCUGCUUACAACUUGGAGCUUCUCACAGCUUGUCUAAAGACAGAGGAAGAGGAGUAAAUCACUGGUUGUGCGCACAUACCUUUUUGUGGCCGCCGUGCAAUUCUCUGCAUGCUCUGCCAUUAGAUUAAUAACCUCUGUCAGUGAUCAUCCCUCAAGCCACUGACUGAAAAGCACCAUCGUGCCUGGAGCAGCUGAGAAGGCUCCUUCAGCAGAACCCCGAGCAGCAGACCACCAGAGCCUUGUCACGCCUGGAGAAGGCCGAGAUCUUGGAAACAGCAGCUGGGUAGAUUGCACCCCCUGCCCCAGAGUGCAAGAGCACCCAAGGCUCCCAGAUCGGUAAGCAGGAUGGCACCCAACAGGGUGCAGAGGCUGAAUCCAGAUAAAAGGAUUAGGGAUUAGAUCAAGAUGAGGAAUUCCAUGCCCAAAAAGGAAUGGAUCCUCACAUAUUAAAGGUCCAAGUUAAUCCCCACCACCACCAUGCCCCCAUCUCCCUGUUUUCUUUCUCAGACAUUGCCUUAAAGCACAGCCAGGACUUCACAGCUGGUUACCACCACCCUCUCAAUGCUGUAAGCACCUUUUUGAGCUCAGUUGGUUCUUUGCUGGAUCGAAACGCCACGUCCCACAUCUCAGACCAGCUCAAGACUACCACUGAGAUGAGGGCUGCCAUUGCUCCGGUUCCUUUUUUCAAAGUCUGGCAACCCCAAGAGGACUCGUCUUCCACUAAACCUCUCCCAAGCCCUGCUUUUUUCUGUGUAGCUCCUCCUUCAGCCUUGCUCUCUUCAGGGCCUGCCCUGACUAGGACAUCUCCAGAAACUCAGUCCACUCCCAGGGGCAGCUGGCUCAUCCCCCUCCAACUUCACUGUCUCAACUGAGGUCCCUCCCUUCACUCUCCCAGAUGCUGGGGAGACCUCUCCAACUGAGGAGCCAUCACCUGAAGACCAGGACCUCUACUGGGGUUUGCUAUGCGACAAAACAGCACU